AAUUUCAGCUGAAAAAGUCAUGAACAUAAAAGUUACAGAGCUCAUCAAGACAUAUAACUUUUAUUUUAGUCAUUUCUUCAUCUGAUAAAGUGAUAGUAACAUUGUUCAUAAAGUUUACAUAUGUCUCUUAUAGUUUAUAAAAAUAUAUGAGACAUGUAAAUUUUGUGAACAAUAUUACUAUCACUUUGUCGGAUUAAGAAACAACCAAAAUAAAAGUUAUAGAUCUUGAUGAGUUAUAUAACUUUGUUGUUGAUGACUUUUUCAGUUGAAAUC
rnacentral:pre_miRNA from 1 species